CAGCAGCCGCGGUAAUACGAACCGUGCGAACGUUAAUCGGAAUCACUGGGCUUAAAGCGCGUGUAGGCGGGCCGCCACGUCGACUGCUGAAAUCCCCCGGCUCAACCUGGGAAGUGGCACCGAUACGAGCGGCCUCGAGGGGGGUAGGGGGCACUGGAACUUCCGGUGGAGCGGUGAAAUGCGUUGAGAUCGGAAGGAACGCCCGUGGCGAAAGCGAGUGCCUGGACCCUUUCUGACGCUGAGACGCGAAAGCCAGGGGAGCGAACGGGAUUAGAUACCCGUGUAGUCCCUGUCUCUUAUU
rnacentral:rRNA from 1 species